rnacentral:rRNA from 1 species
GAUGAACGCUGGCGGCGUGCUUAACACAUGCAAGUCGAACGAAGCACUUAUGGACAAUUCCUUCGGGAAGCGGAAAUAAAUGACUGAGUGGCGGACGGGUGAGUAACGCGUGGAUAACCUACCUCACACAGGGGGACAACAGUUAGAAAUGACUGCUAAUACCGCAUAAGCGCACAGUACCGCAUGGUACGGUGUGAAAAACUCCGGUGGUGUGAGAUGGAUCCGCGUCUGAUUAGCUAGUUGGUGAGGUAAUGGCUCACCAAGGCGACGAUCAGUAGCCGACCUGAGAGGGUGAUCGGCCACAUUGGGACUGAGACACGGCCCAAACUCCUACGGGAGGCAGCAGUGGGGAAUAUUGCACAAUGGGGGAAACCCUGAUGCAGCGACGCCGCGUGAAGGAUGAAGUAUUUCGGUAUGUAAACUUCUAUCAGCAGGGAAGAAAAUGACGGUACCUGACUAAGAAGCCCCGGCUAACUACGUGCCAGCCGCCGCCGUAACAC